AGCGUGGAGACAGGUGGUGCAUGGCUGUCGUCAGCUCGUGUCGUGAGAUGUUGGGUUAAGUCCCGCAACGAGCGCAACCCUCACCCCUUGUUGCCAUCAGGUCACGCUGGGCACUCUAGGGGAACUGCCCCGGUCAACGGGGAGGAAGGUGGGGACGACGUCAAGUCAUCAUGCCCCUUACGUCCUGGGCUACACACGUGCUACAAUGGCCGGUACAAAGGGAUGCAAGACCGUGAGGUGGAGCUAAACCCAAAAAGCCGGUCUAAGUUCAGAUUGGAGUCUGCAACUCGACUCCAUGAAGGAGGAAUCGCUAGUAAUCGCGCAUCAGCACGGCGCGGUGAAUACGUUCCCGGGCCUUGUACACACCGCCCGUCACACCACGAAAGCCAGCUGUACUCGAAGUCGCUGAG
rnacentral:rRNA from 1 species